GGUCCAGUUCGUCCAGCUUGACCAGCAUGAACGUCUGGCUUCUGACUUCGCCUCAGCUUCACACGCGGAAGGUCGCUGGUUCGAUCCCAGCCGGGACCA
rnacentral:tRNA from 1 species